rnacentral:rRNA from 1 species
UGAGCGACCUACCGAUCAGAGGGGGAUAGCCGGCCCAACGGCCGGGUAAUACCGCAUACGCUCUUUGAACCGCAUGGUUCUUUGAGGAAACCUCUGGGGCUGAUCGAGGGGCUCGCGGCCUAUCAGCUAGUUGGCGGGGUAACGCCCACCAAGGCAUCGACGGGUAGCUGGUCUGAGAGGAUGGCCAGCCACAUUGGGACUGAGAUACGGCCCAGACUCCUACGGGAGCAG